rnacentral:rRNA from 1 species
UUGACCUCAAAUCAGGUAGGACUACCCGCUGAACUUAAGCAUAUCAAUAAGCGGAGGAAAAGAAACUAACAAGGAUUCCCCUAGUAACUGCGAGUGAAGCGGGAAAAGCUCAAAUUUAAAAUCUGGCGGUCUUUGGCCGUUCGAGUUGUAAUCUAGAGAAGUGUUACCCGCGCUGGACCGUGUACAAGUCUCCUGGAAUGGAGCGUCAUAGAGGGUGAGAAUCCCGUCUUUGACACGGACUGCCAGGGCUAUGUGGUGCGCUCUCAACGAGUCGAGUUGUUUGGGAAUGCAGCUCAAAAUGGGUGGUAAAUUCCAUCUAAAGCUAAAUAUUGGCGAGAGACCGAUAGCGAACAAGUACCGUGAGGGAAAGAUGAAAAGAACUUUGGAAAGAGAGUUAAACAGUACGUGAAAUUGCUGAAAGGGAAACGCUUGAAGUCAGUCGCGUUGGCCGGAAAUCAACCUUGCUUUUGCUGGGCGUACUUUCUGGUCGACGGGUCAGCAUCAAUUUUGACCGUUGGAUAAAGGCCAGGGGAAUGUGGCAUCUUCGGAUGUGUUAUAGCCCUUGGUUGCAUACAGCGGUUGGGAUUGAGGAACUCAGCACGCCGAAAGGCCGGGGUUUUUGCCCACGUACGUGCUUAGGAUGCUGGCAUAAUGGCUUUAAUCGACCCGUC